AAAUAAUCCUAUCAUUUGGUGCCAUGACUUGAUCGGGAGGCCAUUGACUCGACACACCCAUUUCGAGUCCCAGUGGAGUCUGCAGCCAAUUCGUGAACCGGAUUACAUCCUGCCGCUUUCCUCUCCCGGGAUCCACUUGACCUGUCACCGCCCACCCGCACUCAACACCGGCCCAAUUAAUUUCAGCAGUGGCACUCGGAGCUCCCCAGACAAGAAAUCCACAACAAGAUGUGGCUGCCCGAGUCCUGCCCGGACCGUGCUUCAAAUGCAGCAAACAAGGACACUAGACAAAAGAUUGCCCUAACCCUGGCAUUCCUCUAGGACCCUGUCCAUACUGCAACCUUAAGGGGCAUUGGAAGAGUGACUGUCCUAGCAGCCAGCGAGCAGGUAAGCCAUCCUCUAAUCCCUUGCCCUCACAGGAGACUUUGUC
rnacentral:lncRNA from 1 species